rnacentral:lncRNA from 1 species
GCGUAUCUCAGGGAGGAUAUUUCUGCAGUAAACAAGGAGGCAAAACUCUUUCAGUCGGAACGACAGGAAACCCAGAAAGAAACAAAAGCUCUUCACGAUAUUUUUGUCGAGAAAUGGAUGAAGGAUAACCUCCUUCAAGAGAUGUUCUUGAAAUAUCAGCGUGAUAUCUUGACAAUUCUGGCUGAAUUUAUCAGCCGAAGUGAGAGAAGAAACGACAAGCUUGACUAUGUUCAUGAUGGGUUGCAGCUAAACUGUGACGCNAUGGAGUCCCUGCUAGUAAGCAGUUCGAAUACUGAUGAUGAAGUCAAGGUACAUUUUCUUUUGCUGUAUAACCUCAUGUUUCUGUUAAGGUUAAUGAAUUAGUUUAGUUCUACAGAACCANCAGUCUAAAAAGCAAAACUUUUUGUCUGUGAAACACAGCCUUGGCAGCAGUACAAGACCCCAAUCUGUUAACAAAUAAGCAGGCUAUUUACUGCUGAUACUGAUUAGCAGUGGCGGCCNCUGGCUUUUAAGGUGGGUAUUUGUAACCUGCAGAAAGCNUGCGAUUGCUGUUCGUGGAGCCUCCGGACCUCNGUACUGUUGUAGCAGGUCACUGGGCNACCUGCUGCAANAGUACGGAGACCCAGAGGCCCCACAAA